CGGGAAGUAGAGGUGCUAAGAUAUAUAAUAACAGCGGUCUGAUACAGACAUCUCCAUUAAAUCGAGUUAAGGAAGAACAUGAGUGGCUCUUAGAAAAGUCUUUUGACAUUUUCAAAAAUGUGGCAAUGAUCCCUUUUUCCACUUUCACCAACUUCCACCGGAAAAGCAGGUCCCAGCCAAACAAUGACUCAUACGACAUAUUAAUGAUGGAGAUGGGGUCAUACUAUGGAUAUUUUGGGAUGGCAAGGUAAUUGGAUAUUGUUGUCAGGGGUGGUGCUUGUAGGUGGGGCUGAAUUGGACUACUUAUCUCAGUGCAUCUUAAGCUUCCAUCUAUGAAUGAGAUUGCUUUAUGGAAAGAAACACCAUGAACACUCCACUAUUGAUGUUUGUUCUUCUGACUCUACCCUGCUACAGCGCACAUGGGCAGAUKAAUSCUUUUGGAAUUCCAGUCUCCGUCCAUGCUGGGAAGUUCUACGGCACGUCUCCCAGAGAUCACGUCUGCGACAGGGUUAAUUAUAGCGGUCUAGAUUUCACCUGCUGUGAAGGAGUACGUCAUGAAGGGGCGGGGCUGUCCUGCUGUGGAAACAGGGUCUUUAACCUCACCCAGGCUUCCUGUUGUAAAGGUCAGUUAACUCUGAAUGUGAGCCAGCUGGUGUCAGAUUGCUGUGGGUGUAGGCCCUACGACCCACUCAACCAGCUGUGUUGUGACUCACGGAUCCUAACCAGGACCCAACCUCAUGCCAAGUGUUGUGGAAAAGAGCUUUACGAUGAAGACCACCAGCUUUGCUGUGGAAAUGUUUUGAAAGGAAGGAAGGUCCUGGCCAAAAUGUCCAGUCACCACCGAUGCUGUGGAGACCACCAGUUUGACCAGCAAAGCCACUGCUGCUGCUCUGAAACACUAUCCCCAGAGCCUCUCAAUGCAAGCUGCUGUGCAUCAACAAGUUCUAAUUACAGGGGAAUUGACGCGAGUUCUCCAAACUGUAUGCCAGGGGAGAGGCCCGAGGGUUGCUGUGUGAACCAUACAUCCUGCCAGGGGCAUCCUCACUCCCACCUCCAGACCUCUGCGGAAACACGCAGCCACACCCCAGGUCUCCACGAUGAUGCUGGCUGUGGCUCUCAGGUUUACAAUCCAGACCACAAGACCUGCUGUGCCGGGAAGCUGUCCAAUAGGGUGCUCGGAAAAAACCUGUGCUGCGGUAAAACUCCCUAUGCUGUAGAGGACCGACGGGUGCUGUGCUGUAACCAGACGUUGCACCGUGGGGUGGAGGCUGGGCACCAGUGCUCCCCAGGUGGCCACUUGUAUCGGCCAUCCCGUGAAAUUGUGUGUGAGUCACGUGUUCAUCUCAACGAUCUAGGCAAACACUGCUGUGGAGAAGAGACCUACGACCCUCAGGAUGAAAUCUGCUGCAACGGACACAAACACCGCAGGUUGGGGAACAUGUCCUGCUGCGGAGGGAAGGCCUACGACCCCAGAAGUGGCCAGAUGAAGUGCUGUGCAGAUACUCUGUACAACCUGCAGGUUCAGGACAGGCUCUCAGAGGAUGCCAAGUGCUGUGGGAAUAUCCUGAUGGAGGCCGGCUCCACCUGCUGCUCCGCCCCAGGACUAGACCUGCUCUACCCUACCCAGCCAGGGUUCACCUGCUGUGGGCACCGCUACCCCAACUCCUCCCUGUGGUCUUGCUGCGCGGGCGUCCUGCACCCAAGGACUGAACGAAACACCACCAGCAUGAACAUGAUUCCAGGACUUAGGAUUCUACCACUGGGGGACCUGAAGACGGAAAAGUUGUGUGACAACAAAGUUCUGCUAGGGACAGUGGAGAGUGUGUCUGUGAAGAGGAAUGAGCGGUCCAUCAUGAUGGGGAAGGUCAUGUCCAUGCAGGCCUUGUGUGGCCCUGUCAACGCCCUGCCUGCCCCUCACUACCUCACAUACUGCAGCUCUACUGAACUGGUGCCGGGCAACACUGACAUCUGGGUGGAAACAAGACAUUUCUCAGAAACAGUAAACUUCAUCUCUGAUCUCAGCGACUAUUCCUCCCUUCUCUCUUCCACCCUCUCCAGAUCCAGCUAACAAACCAGGCUGGGUCUGAUGUAACCAUAUAGACAGCAGAGAAGUUGCCUGAACAAGCAAGCUUUGUAGCCAUGAGCAAUGUUUCUCCUCAGGGUCAGUGGGAACCCGUCGUUCAGGGCAGUUUUGAGCCCCACCUGUUUAGCUGAAAUGAAAAUGAAAAUAUAUUAUACAGUACCGGUAAAAAGUUUGGACACACCAACUCAUUCAAGGGUUUUCCUUUAUUUGUAUUAUUUUCUACAUUGUAGAAUAAUAGUGAAUACAUCAAAACUAUGACAUAACACAUAUGGAAUCAUGUAGUAACCAAAAAAGUGUUAAACAAAUCAAAAUAUAUUUUAUAUUUUUCAAAGUAGACACUCUUUGCCUUGAUGACAGCUUUGCACACUCCUGGCAUUCUCUCAACCAUCUUCAUGAAGAAUGCUUUUCCAUCAGUCUUGAAGGAGUUCCCACAUAUGCUGAGCAAUCAAAUUUGGACUCAUCAGACCAAAAACCAGAUUUCCAACUCUCUAAUGUCCAUUGCUCGUGUUUCUUGUCCAAAGGAAGACUCUUCUUCCUAUUGAUGUCCUUUAGUAGUGGUUUAUAUGCAGAAAUUCGACCACGAAGGCCUGAUUUCAAGCAGUUUCCUGUGAACGGUUGAUGUUGAGAUGUGUCUGUUACAUGAAUUAUGUGAAGAAUUUAUUUGGGCUACAAUCUGAGGUGCAGUUAACUCUAAUGAACUUAUCCUCUGCAGCAGAGGAGAGCAAGUUUCAUAAUAGCAUUUGAUGGUUUUUGUGAAUGUUCCGUACUGAUUGACCUUCAUGUCUUCAAGUAACGAUGGACUGUUGUUUCUCGUUGAUUAUUAAAGCUGUUCUUGCCAUAUGGACUUGGUCUUAUCAAAUAGGGCUAUCUUCUGUAUACCACUCUUACCUUGGUCACAAUACAAAUGAUUGGCUCAAAUUCCACAAAUUAACUUUCAACAAGGCACACCUGUUAGCGGACGACACAACAGUGGUAGGCUUGAUUACCAACAACAACGAGACGGCCUACAGGGAGGAGGUGAGGGCCCUCGGAGUGUGGUGUCAGGAAAAUAACCUCAUACUCAACGUCAACAAAACUAAGGAGAUGAUUGUGGACUUCAGGAAACAGCAGAGGGAACACCUCCCUAUCCACAUCGAUGGAACAGUAGUGGAGAAGGUAGCAAGUUUUAAGUUCCUCGGCAUACACAUCACAGACAAACUGAAUUGGUCCACCCACAGACGCAUCGUGAAGAAGGCGCAGCAGCGCCUCUUCAACCUCAGGAGGCUGAAGAAAUUUGGCUUGUCACCAAAAGCACUCACAAACUUCUAC
rnacentral:lncRNA from 1 species